AAAAAAAUGCAAAACAGUGCUUUGAGAAAACUGUGCUGUGCUUUUAUUCCAAUGUUCAAUUUAUAGAAAAACUGAAUAAUACCCCUUACAUUUUAGCUCAUAUGUUUACAUACAGAUUUUAUUUUACAAGAUAAAAAUUUUCACAAACCUUCCACAUUUUGCUUAAACCUUCAGCUUUAUCCUACCUAACUUAAAACAAUCCUUUAACCCUCUAAACUUGGCCAAAAAUCCAUAUUCCCAUGCUUUCUUAAAACAUUUUACGAAAAGCACUUUUUACUUUCCUUACAUUUCUUGCAUACAAAAUUGUUUUGUAGUAGUCUCAAGUACAUGUUACACAGUUAACUCUUGGUGACUUUUACUUUGGAUGAAAAACCUGGUAAGACUCUAUGUACUAGAUUGCGGAGCUUAGGACACUAGAUGAAAGUGCAGAUGAGGUUUGACUCUGUCUAGCAUACCUUAAUGAGAUUUGGAUUUUUCUUGUUUGCUUUAUUAGGUUGUAUAGGACAGUUAACUGAUUUUUGAAAGUGAUGAAUUUUUUCAUUGAUAGUAUUAAUUCAUAGAAAACAUAUACAUAUGGGUUUUCCUAUGUUAGGAAAAGCAAAAUCUUUUCUUAACCCCCAAAUCCUCUUCCUGAAGGUAACAGAGAAAGAAAACAGUUUUAUUAUUGAAUAAGCAUUAAACCAGAAUGUGAUGGGCAUCACAGACAAUCCAGUAAGAGAUUACAAAGACGGAAAGGAAUCUCAUUCUUUUACAUAGCCUAAGAGAUGCAACCCAUAGCAGAAAACUCUGUAUGUCUCCAGGCCUUACCUAUUUGGUAAGGAUAUAGGUCAGCUUCUAUUCGUGCCUCCAUGACCUUGUAGUGACUCUUGCUCAGAGCAUUCUAGCAACAAAAUUAUUAUCUCCUUUCUCAGAUUCCUAUUUCCUAUGUUCUUUCACUAGAUGAGAAGCCUGUUUUUCAGUUAACUGUUGCAAGGCGGAUGAACUUCCUUCCCUUGGAAUAGAAUGUUGAAGGUCUUGAUGAGUAUUGAGAAGGGCAUGGAAGUGAUUAGAGAAAUGGAGGCCACAGGAGGAAGUGAGAGGGAUAUUCAUGGAAAGCCUUCCUAUGCUCACAAAAACAGCAGCCCUCGGAUUCAAGAGGGCAAUGUUUAUUUGUCCUUUUGAUGUAAAGUAGUAACCUGCAGAGGACUUACAGCUUGGGCUAAGAGUUCAUAAAUAGCAAAGGAAGAAUUUUCCCUCCUCCCAAAGGGGCGGUAACUCAAAAAAACCAAAAAAAACAAAGCAAGGAGA